CGGAAAGAGAGAGAUUCGAA
rnacentral:tRNA from 1 species